UCCCGCCUAGCUCAAUCGGAUAGAGCGUCAGACUCUUAUCCGGAAUAAUGAAUGCGGUGAUCUGAAGGCUGCGAGUUCGACCCUCGCGGUGGGCU